AUGGCGAUUGCGAGCAGCAGCGGCGGCGCAGGCGCACUGGUUCUGGCCUUCGUUACCGUCGUAGUUCUGCUCUCCCCGUCGUUGUCCGCCCCUCUGGACGGCGCCUGCUUCCACUCGGCAACGUGCCCGCAGCUGGAGAGCAUCGUGCUGCCCUCCGUGCAGGCGGCACUCCAGCGCGAGGUGGCGCUCGCCGCCGACCUCCUCCGCAUCUUCUUCCACGACUGCUUCCCUCAGGGCUGCGACUCCGUGUACCUCAAGGGCAGCGGCACCAAGCCCGCCAUGGGGCCCAACACCACGCUCCAGCCGCGGGCGCAACAGCUGGUCGAGGAGAUCCGCGCCAAGGUGCACGCGGCGUGCAGCGCCACCGUGUCGUGCGCCGACAUCUCCGCCCUCGCGACCCGCGACGCCAUCGUGCUCUCCGGCAGGCCCAACUACACCGUCCGGGCCGCCCGCUUCCUCGAGGUCGCGCCCGGGGCUCGCUCGCCGACGAGGCCGUUGGGAACGAAGGCUGCCUCCCGGAGUCCGCCAUCCGGGCCUACGGACUUCGGCUGCGCGAGGGCCGUGGACUCCCUGCUCCCGAUGAGCGGCACGCCGGCGUUCAUGUCGCCGGAGGUCGCGCGCGGUGAGGAGCAGGGGUCGGCGUCCGACGUGUGGGCUCUCGGCUUCACCAGUUGUCGCCGUCGCCGCGGGCGCCGACGGACGGGAUCAACGCGCACUGGAGUGGAGGGAGAGAGAGGGGAUUGA
rnacentral:rRNA from 1 species